rnacentral:rRNA from 1 species
UACGUAGGGUGCAAGCGUUAAUCGGAAUUACUGGGCGUAAAGAGUGCGUAGGCGGUUUUGUAAGUGGGACGUGAAAGCUCCCGGCUAAACUGGGAGAGGACGACUCAGACUGCGAGACUAGAGGGCGAUAGAGGAGCGUGGAAUUCGGGGUGUAGCGGUGAAAUGUGUAGAGAUCCCGAGGAACACCAGUGGUGCAAACGACGCUCUGGGUUGCUACUGACGCUGAGGCACG